rnacentral:rRNA from 1 species
GUAAGGAAUAUUGGUCAAUGGGCGCAAGCCUGAUCCAGCCAUGCCGCGUGCAGGAAGACGCAUCUAUGGUGUGUAAACUGCUUUUGUACGGGAAGAAACACUCCCUCGUGAGGGAGCUUGACGGUACCGUAAGAAUAAGGAUCGGCUAACUCCGUGCCAGCAGCCGCGGUAAUACGGAGGAUCCAAGCGUUAUCCGGAAUCAUUGGGUUUAAAGGGUCCGUAGGCGGUUUAAUAAGUCAGUGGUGAAAGCCCAUCGCUCAACGAUGGAACGGCCAUUGAUACUGUUAGACUUGAAUUACAAGGAAGUAACUAGAAUAUGUAGUGUAGCGGUGAAAUGCUUAGAUAUUACAUGGAAUACCAAUUGCGAAGGCAGGUUACUACUUGUGGAUUGACGCUGAUGGACGAAAGCGUGGGGAGCGAACAGGAUUAGAUACCCCGGUAGUCC